rnacentral:rRNA from 1 species
GAUGAACGCUGGCGGCGUGCCUAAUACAUGCAAGUCGAGCGAACGGACGAGAAGCUUGCUUCUCUGAUGUUAGCGGCGGACGGGUGAGUAACACGUGGAUAACCUACCUAUGAGACUGGGAUAACUUCGGGAAACCGGAGCUAAUACCGGAUAAUAUUUUGAACCGCAUGGUUCAAAAGUGAAAGACGGUCUUGCUGUCACUUAUAGAUGGAUCCGCGCUGCAUUAGCUAGUUGGUAAGGUAACGGCUUACCAAGGCAACGAUGCAUAGCCGACCUGAGAGGGUGAUCGGCCACACUGGAACUGAGACACGGUCCAGGCUCCUACGGGAGGCAGCAGUAGGGAAUCUUCCGCAAUGGGCGAAAGCCUGACGGAGCAACGCCGCGUGAGUGAUGAAGGUCUUCGGAUCGUAAAACUCUGUUAUUAGGGAAGAACAUAUGUGUAAGUAACUGUGCACAUCUUGACGGUACCUAAUCAGAAAGCCACGGCUAACUACGUG